UACGUAGGGUGCAAGCGUUAAUCGGAAUUACUGGGCGUAAAGCGUGCGCAGGCGGUUUUGUAAGUCAGAUGUGAAAUCCCCCGGGCUCAACCUGGGAAUGGCGAUGAAGACUGCAAGGCUAGAAUCUGGCAGAGGGGGGUAGAAUUCCACGUGUAGCAGUGAAAUGCGUAGAGAUGUGGAGGAACACCGAUGGCGAAGGCAGCCCCCUGGGUCAAGAUUGACGCUCAUGCACGAAAGCGUGGGGAGCAAACAGG
rnacentral:rRNA from 1 species